AUCGAGCUGACGAGUCCGAAAUAGGACGAAACUCCCGUCCUGGAU
rnacentral:hammerhead_ribozyme from 1 species